GCUGACUUGAGGCCCAUGGGAGCAGCCAGCCAAUGGGAGCGGCCCAGUGGCAACAGCACCAGUAGUGGCAAAAACGGGCAGGGGGAGCCCGCCAGGGUCCGCUGCUCACACUUGCUGGUCAAGCACAGUCAGUCAAGGCGGCCCUCGUCCAGGCGGCAGGAGAAGAUCACCCGGACCAAGGAGGAGGCCCUGGAGCUGAUCAAUGGCUACAUCCAGAAGAUCAAGUCGGGAGAGGAGGACUUUGAAUCUCUGGCCUCACAGUUCAGCGACUGCAGCUCGGCCAAGGCCAGGGGAAACCUGGGUGCCUUCAGCAGAGGUCAGAUGCAGAAGCCAUUCGAAGACGCCUCGUUUGCGCUGCGGACUGGGGAGAUGAGCGGGCCGGUGUUCACGGACUCCGGCAUCCACAUCAUCCAGCGCACGGAGUGAGGGGCCUGCGGCGACCCCCGCCCUGCUGCCGUCACACAGUAUUUAUUGUUCCCAAAAUGGCUGGGAGGGGGGCUCUUCCAGUUUGGGGGCUGUGGCGCCCCCCUCCCUGCCCGCCCCUGCUGGGGCCGCCCCUGCCGGACUCCCCCUCAAGGAAUUGACUUCAGAGGGGCAGCGGGGGUGGGCGGGCUCCCAGACCCAGGGCUAGGGGUGUCCCGAAGAGAAGGCCUGGUCAGCGGAGCCGCCCUGUGUCCCCGGGUCCUGGAGGCAGACGGGGGGCCCUGGGCCAUGUUUCUAGUUAACUCCACGUUCCUCUGUUCAGCUGCAAAAAGCAAACGCCCUGUGUGGCCCGGCUGUGGGCCCUCGGAGCCCUCCCUGAGCGGUGGCGCGGCGCCCUUUGCAACCCCAAAUUAAACCUGGAACCGCUGCUCCAAAAAAAAAAAAAAAAAAA